UCCGUUAGUCCCGCUCUGGUUUCUUGCUCUCUCCCUCGGCUCGAAGUGCACGCCGCCAUGGCCGAGAUCUCCGAAGAAGCCCAGGAGCAGCAGUACACCUCUUUCUCCUCCUCCUCUUCCUCUCCAAUCGCCGCCCCGGAGGUCGAUCCCGACGAGGAGUCUUUGGCCUCGGUUCUCGCCAAGAAGAGCCCGAUGCCCUUCCUCGAGGCUGCCAACGCCGAGAAGUGGGUCAAGGAUCCGGCCCAGAGGACAGAGUCGGACGCGCCGCCCAACGAUCUAAGUCAUCAGACAAGGCGGCGAACAAGGCCGAGCAGAAGCCAAACUCUGAAAAUGGUCUCGAAUUAUUAUAAGUAUUCAUGGACUUGGACACUUCAAGAUGUUACCAUCAGCAUUCCUGUUCCUCAGGGAACAUAAUCAAGGUUUGUUACUCGUGAGAUAAAGAAGACCCAUUUGAAAGUUGGGUUAAAGGGACAACCUCCAUUUAUCUCUAGGUGAAAGCACCUUCCUCUUAUACUUGCACAUGUUUCUUCUGUAAUUCUUCCGGGGAGAUCUUUAUCGACCAGUGAAGACAGAAGAUUGCUUCUGGAGCAUAGGGUGGACAAUACAUUUCUAUACUUUUGACCAAGCAAAAUCAGAUGGAAUGGUGGAAGUGUGUGGUAAAGGGUGACCCUGAAAUUGAUACACUAGAAAGUAGAACCUGAAUAUAGCAAUUUAUCUGAUCUGGAUCGUGAAACUUGGCAGAUUUUACAGAAAAUGAUGUUUGAGCAGUGGCAGAAAGUGAUGAUAUGUAGAAGCAAGAAAUUCUGAAAAAGAUAGCACCCAUAAAUUGACUUUUCAAGAGCAAAAAGAGCCCUGUUGGAGGAUUUGGAAGAGGUGUUUUGCACAGCAAGUGUUAUCUGGUCUUAAGACUAGAUUGAUUUGUACCUGAGGGGAGAUGUUAAAGAAUAUGAACUUUUCUAGCAGCUUAAACAUGUGAAGGCUCCAUGGUUGGAGUCUUUCUGCCUUAUUACAAGUGUUUAGCCGAUAACCAAUUGCAGGUGUUGGCAUAAGAAAGGUCUGCGGAAUGGACCCAAGGCUCGAAAACCUGUUCCAGCGAUUGUCCGUUGCAAGAGUUGUGGUUGCGUUAAGUUGCCACACUACUGCUGCAGUGGUGACAGUGGAAACAGUGGUGCUUCAAGCUCAUGAAAGAAAUUCAUACUAGUGAUAACACUAAUCUUGCUAAAGGAUGAUCUUCUUGUCUUUGUUUUCUUUGCUGCUGGUUUUAUUUUAUCAGCUGCAGCAUUGCAGCUGUUGUCCUAUCUAGAUAUGGGAUUUCAUCGGGUUCUAGUUUGUGAAACAACCUGAAAAUCAUCUUUUCAUGCUUCCAAGGAAUUUAAUGCUGUAUCUUCAGAUGCAUACGGUACAAAUUUCAAUUUUUACAUGUGAUUAAAGUUCUUGCUGCUUGUCAAAUGACACCCAUGUGUCCUGGAGGCACUUAUCUAUAUCCCAAAUUACAUGGAAAUGGCUCGAUGAACUUAGCUUUGGGCUAUUUCAUGAGAUUUGAGGUGGAAUCAAGGGCAGAGUGAAUUGAAGCAAUGAAUUACAACUUCCUAAGUGGAACCACCAACCUUCUGGUUAAAGACAGAUGCAGUUCGGAGGUACACAGCCUUUUUAUCAUCCCUCACAUAACGAGAUAUGAUUUUGUCAAUGAACCGCUCUGGUAUUCCUUUUCAUUGUUAUUCAUUUUCAGUGCAUUUCUAAGUGUGAGUCAUCUUGGAAUAGAUCAACUUCAGUUUAUAGAUCACUAAGCAUAUCGUUCUCACCUGAGCUCAGUGACUAAAGAUUAUAGAUCAUAACAAGGAUCCUUGCUUCAUUUUUGAGUUGUUUAUUGUGUGCAACAUCCUAUAAAGGUGACGUAGCUAUCCAGAACACACAAAAUUUCUUUGGUUUAUCUUCAAAACAAGCAGCAAAUUCCUCUUCCAGGUUGGGCACAGAGCAUCAAACAACAGACUGAUGCCACUGUUUUUGAAAGAGAUGUUUUCAGGUGCAAGUUUUUUUUAUACCGAGUAUCAAGUUGUGGGUUGCCUCUUGUCACUUCUCAAAUGCACUUCAUUCUUUAAUAUAUAUCUUGUGUUUUCUUAUUGAAAGUAAAAAAAAGAUCAGGUGGACUUGUUGAUGGAUGAACGUAAGGGCAUGAAGACAACAGCUGGUUUUUAAGUAUAUGUGAUGAUCCAACCUACCCAGAUAUGCCACAAAGAUAUGGCCAACGGCUCUUGGUGAUUAGAGUUGGAUGUUGUCUUCAUCAGAAGCCAGACAUGGAGAAUCUAUCCAAAGUAUGGACGCACGGUUUUGUCACCAAACAAAGCCUAUUCGGAAGCUGGAUAUGAAGCUUACUCGGUGAUUUCACGUGCAAGAUUGUCAUGUUAGAUUGCACCGUCAGAGAAAAUGUGUUAAUUGCUAUUGUUUUAGACUUGUCAGUGUUAUACUGAUAGAAAAUGUGGGCUGCGAUGACUCCGGGAAGAAAAGUGUUAUAAGAGAUUCCAAGUGUGCUUGAAUCUGUUAAAACUAGGGCAAGUCCGCCAGUGUUGUUUUUGUUUUCUCAUUUACAUAAAAAGAAAAUGCAAUAAUACAAA